rnacentral:rRNA from 1 species
ACGCUCGACACCUACGGGAGCAGCAGUUGGGAAUAUUGGACAAUGGAGGAAACUCUGAUCCAGUGACGCCGCGUGAAGGAAGAAGGUCUUCGGAUUGUAAACUUAUUUUGUCAGGGAAGAAAAAUGACUGUACCUGAAGAAAAAGCACCGGCUAACUACGUGCCAGCAGCCACGGUAAUCUGAGCGGGCUGGCAAGGC